rnacentral:rRNA from 1 species
CAACCCUCGAACCCCUCCGGGGGGUCGGCGUUGGGGAUCGGGACCCCUCACCGGGUGCCGGCCCUGAAAUACAGUGGCGGUCUCGCCGCAGCCUCUCCUGCGCAGUAGUUUGCACAACUCGCACCGGGAGCGCGGCGCGUCCACGUCCGUAAAACACCCAACUUCUGAAAUG